AACGAACGCUGGCGGGCGUAGCUUAACACAUGCAAGUCGGACGAGAAAGGGGGCUUCGGCUCCUGAGUACAGUGGCGCACGGGGUGCGUAACACGUAAGUAAUCCACCCUGGACACUGGGAUAACGGCGCGAAAGUGCCGCUAAGACCGGAUAGGGCCACGCAGCGGGGGCUGGGUGGGGAAAAGGGGCGGCGAAGGCGGUCCCUGGUCCAGGCGGAGCUUGCGGCCCAUUAGCUAGUUGGGAGGGUAAGGGCCUCCCAAGGCGACGAUGGGUAGCUGAUCUGAGAGGAUGAUCAGCCACACUGGCACUGAGACACGGGCCAGACUCCUACGGGAGGCAGCAGUGGGGAAUCUUGCGCAAUGGGCGAAAGCCUGACGCAGUAACGCCGCGUGGAGGACGACGGCCUUCGGGUUGUAAACUCCUGUCAGGGGGGACGACACGGGGCGGGUGUAAGCCCGGCCCGGGCGACGGUACCCCCAAAGGAAGCCCCGGCUAAUUCCGUGCCAGCAGCCGCGGUAA
rnacentral:rRNA from 1 species